GACGAACGCUGGCGGCGUGCUUAACACAUGCAAGUCGAACGGAAAGGCCUUGUUUGCCUUGUACUCUAGUGGUGAACGGGUGACUAACACGUGGGUGAUCUGCCCUUCAUCUCGGGCUAAGCCUGGGAUACUCGUUCUAAUACCGGACUGGUUCCCUUUUUGUCUUGAUGGUUGUACCGUUUUUUCGGUGUAGGUUGAUCUCGCGGCCUAUUAGCCUGUUGGUGUGGUAAUGGGUUACCGAGGCGGUGACGGGUAGCCGGCCGGAGAGGGUGGACGGCAGCAAUGGGACAGAGAUACGGCCCAGACAGCAACGGGGGGCAGCAGAGGGGAAGAGUGAACAAGGGGCGGAAGCCUGAUGCAGCGAAGCAGCGUGGGGGAUGACGGACUUCGGGUUGUAAGCGCGGUACGCUAGGGACGAAGCGUGUUGUGACGGUACCUAGAUAAGAAGCACCGGCUAACUACGUG
rnacentral:rRNA from 1 species